rnacentral:rRNA from 1 species
AUGCAUGUCUCAGUACACACUCUUGAACAGUGAAACCGCGAAUGGCUCAUUACAUCAGUUACGGUUCCUUGGAUCUUUCAAUGUUAUACGGAUAACUUUUGGGAAUUCUAGAGCUAAUACGUGCCAUGAAGCUUCAACUCACGGAGAAGCGCACUUAUUAGACCAAAACCAAUCGGCUUCGGCUGUGGUGAGGUGACUCUGGAUAACCUUGUGCUGAUCGCAGCGGCCUCGAGCCGGCGACAAAUCUUUAAAUGUCUGACCUAUCAACUUUCGAUGGUAGGUGAUGUGCCUACCAUGGUUGUUACGGGUAACGGGGAAUCAGGGUUCGAUUCCGGAGAAGGAGCCUGAGAAACAGCUGCUACUCCUACGGGAGGCAGCAGGCGCGCAAAUUACCCACUCCCGGCAUGGGGAGGUAGUGACGAAAAAUAACGACUCCGAGCUCUACGAGUUUCGGUGAUCGGAAUGAGACCACUCAAAAGCCGUUAACGAGGAUCAAAUAGAGGGCAAGUCUGGUGCCAGCAGCCGCGGUAAUUCCAGCUCUAUUAGCGUAUAUUAAAGUUGUUGCAGUUAAAAAGCUCGUAGUUGGAUCUCGGGCCAAGUCCGGCGUCUGCUCUCUCGAGUAGCUUCGCCGUGGCUAACCUUUCGGUAAUUCGUCUAUGGUGCUCUUCAACGGGUGACAUGGUCGACUGCCAUUUUUACUUUGAGAAAACUAAAGUGCUUAAAGCAUGCCGCUUCGGCAGGAAUAUUCGUGCAUGGAAUAAUGAAAAAGGACUUCGUCUCCAUUUUGUUGGUUUCUCGAUUCGAGGUAAUGAUUAAGAGGGACAGACGGGGGCAUUCGUAUUGCGCCGCGAGAGGUGAAAUUCUUGGACCGGCGCAAGACGUACAACUGCGAAAGCAUUUGCCAAGAAUGUUUUCAUUAAUCAAGAACGAAAGUCAGAGGUUCGAAGGCGAUCAGAUACCGCCCUAGUUCUGACCAUAAACGAUGCCAACUGGCGAUCUGCCGCUUGUAUUCAAUAUCACGGCAGGCAGCCACCGGGAAACCUGAAGUUUUUGGGUUCCGGGGAGAGUAUGGUUGCAAAACUGAAACUUAAAGGAAUUGACGGAAGGGCACCACCAGGAGUGGAGUCUGCGGCUCAAUUUGACUCAACACGCGAAAGCUUACCCAGUCAGGACACCCUAAGGAUUGACAGACCGAUAGCUCUUUCUCGAUUUGGUGAAUGGUGGUGCAUGGCCGUUCUUAGUUGGUGAAGCGAUUUGUCUGGUUAAUUCCGAUAACGAACGAGACUCUAGCCUGCUAAAUAGUACGAAACUCUUCAGGUUCUAAAGUACUUCUUAGAGGGACAAGUGACUCCUACAUUCAAAGUCACCACGAAACUGAGCAAUAACAGGUCUGUGAUGCCCUUAGAUGUCCGGGGCCGCACGCGCGCUACAAUGAAGGAAUCAACGUGCAUUCUUGCGCUGGUCUGAAGGGGCCGGCGAACCCGUUGAAUUUCUUUCAUACUUGGGACUGGGCUUUGUAAUUAUCGCCCAUGAACGAGGAACUCCCAGUAUGUGCGAGUCAUCAGCUCGCGCAGACUACGUCCCUGCCCUUUGUACACACCGCCCGUCGCUACUACCGAUUGAAUGUCUCAGUGAGAUACUCGGAUUUGUCCUUCGUAACAUUAACGUGUUACUUAGGAUGAAAAAGAAUAUCAAACUUGGACAUUUA